ensembl:lncRNA
GGACAGGAGGAGAGCGGGGGAAGAGAAAAUUAGCAUGUUUGAGGAGAUCAGUUUGAGCAAGAUCAAGACAGACCCCAAAAACCCCUCCUGAGAUGGACUCCAACCUGAGAAUUGGCUUCAUCGGGGCAGGCAACACGGCCUACGGGAUAGCCAAGGGAGUCCUGCAGCCUGGAGUUGGGGGAGUCGGCCACCCAUUUCUAUGCAGAGCUGGUCAAUAGCUGUGACCUGGUGUUCGUGGCGGUCAAACCACAACUCGCCGCGACCGUUCUCAGCGAGAUCACAGACCACGUCACCUGGAAACACA